UGAUGAUUCACUAAAAAGACUCACAGAACUUAGUGAAAGCUAAUGUCACACCUACUGUAGAGGAGUGAAAGUACAAAUUGUUUCUCACAAGGAAUGAGUGCCACUCUUCAGUUUUUAAGCAGAGAAGGAACAUGCUGGAUCUGUAUUUUGGACAGAUGUAAUGGUGAAGUUGAGAUGAUGAUCAGAGUCUUACUUCAGACAAAUCAUGAGUCUCAGAGGAAGUGAUGACAGAGAUGUCUGUGGAAACUAUUGAAGAGGAAGGCUUUGCUAAAUCUUCAUGGAGAGAGUCCUUUCUAUGGAGGAGACAUUAUGCUAGAAUUUUCACACAGAUUAUUUUAUUUAACUCCAAGAACUACUCCAUGAAAUAGGCAUGAUCAUCACCUUCAUUGUUUACAGGUAAGAAAACUAAAGUUCACAGUGGUUAAAUUGCUUGUCCAUAGUUGCAUGUGUAGUAAGAGGGGCUAGAGAGUAGGAAUUUCAUAUCAUUUUGAGCUCUUGAGUUUGUAAGCAUCGUUUUUCUUUAGAGUUAUCUCCUGGUUUUCCAUGAUAGAAAGUCUUUCUUGGACUUUUUUUCUGGCGCAAGCAUUCCUUCUCAUACUUAAAUUCUUCACAAAUAUCCUUGACUUUUCUAUUAAUUCUAAAUUGCAGUCUAUAGUCCCACAAAGUGUAAAAGUAUGAAAUGUUAAAAUUCUUUGUUUAAAAGCAUUCAUUAUUACUUACAUUUCUAAAUGAAUGUAAGAAAUGCAAUAACUUAGCAAACAGAAAGUUCAAUCAGAUUUGCUCAUGCAGGGGUCUUAUGAUAUUUCAAUGAAGAUUGAUGUCCAUUCUAUGGCUAAAGUGGCAGGACACAAAACAUAAUAGAAUUGUGCAAAUACAGAGAAAAAGUAAUGCAUUCCAAGCUAUAAGAAAGUGCCUUCCUUGAUUAGGUAUGUUAUCAUACUGUGGUUCUGUUCCUGUUUAUUCUUGCAUUUGUUCAGAGUUAUGCUUUUGAAAGAAAUCAAAAUAUUUCACCCCAAAAUAUACUUAUUUAACAUAUUUUGACAUCGCUAUUAAGAGGGCUUGUAAACAGAAUGAGCCCUGCAAAGCUGUCUUUUGUGGGGGAGAUUUGCAUCUGUAGAAAAUGUGCAUCGAUGUGGCCGGGUUUCUCUGAGGCCUUGCCUUGUGGAACCCUAACAAACAUUAAUUUCUGUAAGGGUUUAAUGUAAGCCACAUACUCUUCUGAGAUUAGCAUAUUUUAGUACCACAUUAUCUCUUAUACUAGUCAUUGCAAUGACAAGAAAAUAAAUAGAAAAUUCAGGCCAAAAGCUAUCUAUCAAAAGUAAUUUUUAAACUUCCACAGCAAAAUUCCUACCUUUCAGGUAUGUUUACAAUGAUGAAA
rnacentral:lncRNA from 1 species